UGGCUCAGAUGGUAAAGCAUCUGCUUGCAGUGUAGGAGACCCAGGUUCGAUCCCUGG
rnacentral:tRNA from 1 species